rnacentral:rRNA from 1 species
AUUGAACGCUGGCGGCAGGCCUGACACAUGCAAGUCGAACGGCAGCACAGAAGAGCUUGCUCUUUGGGUGGCGAGUGGCGGACGGGUGAGUAAUGUCUGGGAAACUGCCCGAUGGAGGGGGAUAACUGCUGGAAACGGUAGCUAAUACCGCAUAACGUCGCAAGACCAAAGUGGGGGACCUUCGGGCCUCACGCCAUCGGAUGUGCCCAGAUGGGAUUAGCUAGUAGGUGGGGUAAUGGCUCACCUAGGCGACGAUCCCUAGCUGGUCUGAGAGGAUGACCAGCCACACUGGAACUGAGACACGGUCCAGACUCGUACGGGGGUCAGCAGUGGGGAAUAUUGCACAAUGGGCGCAAGCCUGAUGCAGCCAUGCCGCGUGUAUGAAGAAGGCCUUCGGGUUGUAAAGUACUUUCAGCGGGGAGGAAGGCGGUGAGGUUAAUAACCUUGCCGAUUGACGUUACCCGCAGAAGAAGCACCGGCUAACUCCGUGCCAGCCGCCGCGGUAA